rfam:Ciona savignyi cont_35826, whole genome shotgun sequence.
GUCGUCGUGGCCGAGUGGUUAAGGCGACAGACUAGAAAUCUGUUGGGCUCUGCCCGCACAGGUUCGAAUCCUUUCGGCGACG